rnacentral:lncRNA from 1 species
AGUGCUGGCGCAAGUCGUCUUGCGCCAGGCGACUGGGUCUGAGGAGGCAGGAGUUAUUCAUUCCCUUAAGCUUUCAGGCCGGGGGGAGAAUCUUUCAGGUGGUAGCUGCAAGAACUCUUAGUAUGUUGACCUCACCUCUGCCUUCCACAUACCACUACCAGUGAGGAAUUAGGAAUGCAUGAGAAGAGUGUCCAAGAAGAGUGUCCUCAUUCAUGCAAGGCUUAAGAGAGAAUGCAGGUCAACAUCACCAUGUCAAUCAGAGGUGCAGAUGCUGAGAGCACUUUCUAGUCAAGUCCUGCAUGUUCAUUUCUGUCUCAAGUCAGCUUCUCUGAGAAUCCAAUUUAUAAAAAUAUAUUUGUGAAUGUAUAAGUAAAGUGACUUGGAUUUUGUCUACGUACAAGGACUUCUAUGCCUGCAUAAAACAGGAAAGAGAUCUUCAUGUAAACAGAGUCCCUCUUAUUGGCUGAAGUGAAGAGUCAUUCUGAGGAGGAUCUGAAAAUGUAGAGGUGAGACGCUAAUGGCAGAGUGGCCUCAGCUUUCACCAGGUUUUGAAAACAUCUGUGAGGGAGGCACCAAAUUCACUGUCCUGCAGCUUUGACUUCCCAAUCCUCGUUGCCUCGUGCUGCCAGCCUGUAUGCUGGUAGAAGUGUGUUCCUGGGAACAUCCUGGCAUCUUGUGUUAGGACUACACUGGUGCAUGGGACAGAUCACGCUCAAGAAGGUCGAUGUAAUUUGAAAAACAGAUGGGCUCUGCUUUGUGAAAACUCCAAGCAUAUGAAGUCUAACUUGAAUAAAAGGCAUCUCAAGAUGAAGGUUUCCUAUUUGUGAUUAUGAAAAAAAUGUCAAGAACAAGUCCCUUGGUGUUCUUAGACCAAAGUCAGAACAACAGACCUAACAGAGCAAGAAGGUGACCAUCUG